AGGGUUCGAUUCUGGCUCAGAACGAACGCUGGCGGCGCGUCUUAAGCAUGCAAGUCGAACGGCAAGAGGUAGCAAUACCUCCUAGAGUGGCGGACUGGUGAGUAACACGUGGGUGACAUACCCUUCAGAUGGGGGAUAGCUAUUAGAAAUAGUAGAUAAUACCGAAUACGAGCACAGGGGUUAGAGAUCUGUGAGGAAAGGAGCUAAGGCUCCGCUGAAGGAAUGGCCUGCGGCCCAUUAGCUAGUUGGUGAGGUAAGAGCCCACCAAGGCGAUGAUGGGUAUCCGGCCUUAGAGGGUGAACGGACACAUUGGGACUGAGAUACGGCCCAGACUCCUACGAGAGGCAGCAGCUAAGAAUAUUCCGCAAUGGACGAAAGUCUGACGGAGCGACGCCGCGUGGAUGAAGAGGGCCGGAAGGUUGUAAAAUCCUUUUGAAACUGAAGAAUAAGCGUUGUAGGGAAUGACAGCGUGGUGACAGUAGGUUUUGAAUAAGCAACGGCUAAUUACGUGCCAGCCGCCGC
rnacentral:rRNA from 1 species